UGAGCAAUCUGCCCUUCUCAUCGGAAUAAGCGUUGGAAACGACGUCUAAUGCCGAAUACGACCUCCUUUCGCAUGAUCGGAGGUGGAAAGCUCAGGCGGUCAAGGAUGGGCUCGCGGCCUAUCAGCUUGUUGGUGAGGUAAUGGCUCACCAAGGCGACGACGGGUAGCCGGCCUGAGAGGGUGACCGGCCACACUGGGACUGAGACACGGCCCAGACUCCGUAGGGACGG
rnacentral:rRNA from 1 species